rnacentral:lncRNA from 1 species
CUGCAGGCUAAGCCCCGACUCCUCUCCCUGCCUGGCGGGAGGAAAUCCCCUUCGAAAGACGUUUCCCCGCUCCCGAUGGCUUUCUGGCUUUGGGGUUGGGGGGAACGGGGGAAGUAAGUGUGUAGGAAAUACCGGGGCAAAGCGGGGGAGUGAGCCACGCCACAGUCCGGUGUGGGGCAGCCUUCGUGGCCGCCCUCCUCUCUCCAAAAGCAACCUGCUCCUCGUUCCCCCCUUCUUCCUUUCUUCCCGCCCGUCCGAGAGGGACUGGGCUGGCGAAGCCUCUCCUGACAUCCCUGCGAAUGAUGCUGCAGAACGGAGGCCGCGCGGCUGUGGGAAUAUUUGUGUGUCACCAGAGGCUCAACUCACCCCCUACAUGUGGGGUAAAAACAUUCCCUGAUAAAGACGAAGAUAUACCGGGUGCAGCAGCAGCCGACAAGACCGCCGUCUUCUCACCAGCUUUAGGAGCUCCAAGAGCGAAUCUACCCCCUCUAAAAUACACACGCAGGCAAGAUAUUUGCAAUCAAGCUGCCACCAUUUGGCAAAGAGCUGUAUGCCGUGCACAAUCUAAGGGGAUCAGGAGCCUCAUCCUCGAAUCAUCUUGUUACUUCCUGCUGAAAUGGAUUUUCCCCACCUUCUUUUUCCUCCUUACACUGCGCUGGAAAUUGCCGAAGGCUUUUCAUCUUUAUAGACGCUAAGGAGUCUUUCGUGAAAACGAAGCGAUUUACAAUGCAAAUAGGGGCCUGUAAAGGAAUGGAUGCUCCUCUCUCUUAACGCAGCUUACGCAACUUAAUGGCUGGUUUUAUUUUCUGGUAUUAACAGACGAAUUGUUGGCUACCCCUGCCGGAAAUUACUGGCUGAAACAAAAAGUUAGGAAUAAACUUUGAAGGCAAGGGAUAGUUUUGUAGCUG